rnacentral:rRNA from 1 species
CUUGGUGAUAAUAGAGAGAGGGAAACAACCUGACACCAUUCCGAACUCAGAAGUUAAGCCUCUGAUCGCUGAUGGUACUAUACACAAGAGUAUGGGAGAGUAGGUCGUCGCCAAGC